rnacentral:rRNA from 1 species
AACGAACGCUGGCGGCAUGCCUAACACAUGCAAGUCGAACGAGACCUUCGGGUCUAGUGGCGCACGGGUGCGUAACGCGUGGGAACCUGCCCUUAGGUUCGGAAUAACUCCCCGAAAGGGGUGCUAAUACCGGAUAAUGUCUUCGGACCAAAGAUUUAUCGCCUUUGGAUGGGCCCGCGUUGGAUUAGCUAGUUGGUAGGGUAAAAGCCUACCAAGGCGACGAUCCAUAGCUGGUCUGAGAGGAUGAUCAGCCACACUGGGACUGAGACACGGCCCAGACUCCUACGGGAGGGAGCAGUGGGGGAUAUUGGACAAUGGGCGAAAGCCUGAACCAGCAAGGCCGCGUGAGUGAUGAAGGCCUGAGGGUUGUAAAGCUCUUUUACCCGGGAUGAUAAUGACAGUACCGGGAGAAUAAGCACCGGCUAACUCCGUG